GCUUCUAGAGGUUGGACUGAGACACCAACUGAGCCACAAAACCUUUGACUACCUGUCCUGCCUACAAGAUGUGCUGGGACAAAGGUGGCUUAGAACUUACGAAAGUGAACAACUAGUGACUGGUCUAAUUUGAGGGCUACUCCUCAAGACGGAAUCCAUACCCAUCACUGCCUGGGUAACCAGGAACCAAAAGCUGAAUAGCUCAGGCACCUAGAGCAGAACCAAUUAUGACUGCUCAAAAAGAAAAAGUUAAUGAAACAAUCCCUAAUGAUCUUCUGAUAUAUUCAUAGAUAGGUCCUCAUCUCAAUCAUCAUCACAGAGGAUUCCUCAGAUAGUGGGUGGGAGUAGAUUCAAAGUCCCACAGCCAAGAAUUCGGUUGAGCUUGGGGAACCCAGUGUAAGAAAUAGAGGAAGGAUUGUAGACGCCAGAGGGUUUGAGGAAAGCAGAACACCAGACUAUAGAAUCAACUAAGCAAAGCUCACAGGUGCUCACAGAGACUGAAUAAUAAUUGAGGAGCUUGCUCGGGUUUGCACUAGGUCCUCUGUAAGUCUCUGACUCUUUUGCCUGCUCUUAAGACCCCUUUUCUCCUACUGGUUUAGCCUGUCCAGCCUUAUUAUCAGGGUUUAUUCCUAGUCCGAUUAUAACAUUUUAUGCCUUGUUUACUUGCCAUCACUGGGAAGCCUGAUCGUAUUUGCAGGGAAAUGGCAGAACAGUGUAUCUGGGGAAUAGAGGAGUGGGUGUUCUGGGAGGAAUGGUGGGAGAAAGAAAUUGUAGUUUUGAUAUAUUGUGUAAGAUUAAAAUAAUGUAAAAAAUGUACUGAAUAAAAAGACAGCCUUUCAACAAAUAUUUUUAGUAAAAUAGGAGUUUUACCAGGAGAAGAUGAAAUUGUACCCAUCUCUCAUUCUGUACAAAAGUAGAUUUAAGCUAUGUGCUGGCUAGGUUUUUAUUUCAGCUUGGCACAGGCUAGAGUUGUCUGAGAGAAGUAAUCUCAAUUAAGAAAAUGCCUCUAUAGCAUUUUCAAUGGAAGCUUUUUUUGGAAAAAGUGUAUUCUGUGUGACACACUGUGACCCUCUGUACAAACAGCUGCUUCCACGCUGCCUGCUCCACUGAAGAGGACAAUCUUCCCCUGGUACAUGAGGAUCAGUAUUUGAUCAAAGUAUCUGUUUCAUGAUCACAAGGCAUUGGAAUAAGCUUUUAGCCAGAAAAUUCCAGCCAAUAAAGUGUCACCGUGAGAGCCGCUUAGACAAGACUGAAAAUCUACAAGAUGACAUCAGUUAAUACAGGAAGACAGCUGAAAAUGUGGCGCAUUCAUAGAGAAGGCGAGUUGGAGAAUUUUAUGCUUGAGAAGAAGAUAAAGAAUCUCUAUGGAUGUUUGAAUUUUGGAAAGAGACUACAUGCAUGAAGAAUAACGUAUAGUAGAAAUGAAUAAAACAAGAUCAAACUACUGUCA